rnacentral:lncRNA from 1 species
ACAUGGUCUGUUGGAAAGGCAUCACCCCAAGCCUCCACCACCAAUAAGCAGGAGCAGAGAAUGAAGAGGAUGGAAAAGCUCAAAAGGGAUCUCCAGAAGAUCAAAAAUGAGAGAGACGGACUCCAGGGAAUCCUAGCCAAUUACACUAACAAGGAUUUGAACAACAGAAUCAAAAUUAGGACACUCAUGCCAAAGAUGCAACAUGACCAGGUGAUGACUGACCUGAAGAGAAUGCCCCAGGACAUCAGUGAGGCCUUGUACAAGUACAAGGAGUUGACUAAAGAAAAUCAAUUCUACUGAGUGAAUCUAACCAUCUCCAGCACAACGUCAUGAUGUUGUGGAAGGAGAACAGACAGUUGCUAGAGGAGCAGAUUGCACUAGAAAAUGCUCCAACGAAUCAAAGAGGCUGUGUAAAGAAGGCAGCC